CCUUCCUUUUAACUUUUAUAUCAUGACAGAGUUAUUUUGAAUGUGCUUUCACAAUUAUAGGUGCUGGACAAAGUUUGGCUACAGUUGGAAACAUUAUGUGAUGAUCCUUAUGUAGCUGAUAACCUGGACUUCCAGUUAGCAAUUGCUCGUACUUGCACAGCAUUGGCUCACACAUCUCACCCUCGUCUUAUUCACCAGUUUCUUUUACCCCGAAUGUGUCGUCUAGCUAUUGAUGGCAGGCACAGUGAAGAGGAAUGGUUAGUGCUUGGCUUGUGUCUCUUGGAGGCCUACUCUGCUCUCACUUGCUGUCAGUUGCCUGAUCAUGUUAUAGCUCACUUUGUCGUGCCUCCUCUCAAUCAGCUUCAAAAGACAAUGGGCUCUGCAUCUUUUGAGCAUAUGGAGACUAUCACAGAUUUGAUAAAAGAAUACAGCCUGCGAACUCAGUCUUCUCAGGGUUUUGAGAGGUAAGCUUUCAUUUGUAAUGUAUGUUAUUGUACACACAUUAUUAUUAUUAUUGUGCAAAAUUAUGGUUGAU